rnacentral:rRNA from 1 species
UACGAAGGGGGCUAGCGUUGUCCGGAAUCAUUGGGCGUAAAGCGCGCGUAGGUGGCUUUGUAAGUCCGUUGUGAAAGUCAAAGGCUCAACCUUUGAAUGCCGAUGGAUACUGCGGAGCUAGAGUACGGAAGAGGCGAGUGGAAUUCCUGGUGUAGCGGUGGAAUGCGCAGAUAUCAGGAGGAACACCAAUGGCGAAGGCAGCUCGCUGGGACGGUACUGACGCUGAGACGCGAAAGCGUGGGGAGCAAACAGG